rnacentral:rRNA from 1 species
UACGUAGGGUGCGAGCGUUAAUCGGAGUUACUGGGCGUAAAGCGUGCGCAGGCGGUUUUGUAAGCCAGAUGUGAAAUCCCCGGGCUUAACCUGGGAAUGGCAUUUGGGACUGCAAGGCUUGAGUGCGGCAGAGGAGACUGGAAUUCCUGGUGUAGCAGUGAAAUGCGUAGAUAUCAGGAGGAAUACCGAUGCGAAGGCAGGUCUCUGGGCUGACACUGACGCUCAUGCACGAAAGCGUGGGGAGCAAA